AAACCMACAGGGAUUGCCUUAGUAGCGGCGAGUGAAGCGGCAAGAGCUCAAAUUUGAAAUCUGGUACCUUCGGUGCCCGAGUUGUAAUUUGAAGAAAGCUAUCUUGGAUUUGGCCUUUGUCUAUGUUCCUUGGAACAGGACGUCACAGAGGGUGAGAAUCCCGUGCGAUGAGGUGUCCAUUUCUAUGUAAGAUGUUUUCGAAGAGUCGAGUUGUUUGGGAAUGCAGCUCUAAGUGGGUGGUAAAUUCCAUCUAAAGCUAAAUAUUGGCGAGAGACCGAUAGCGAACAAGUACAGUGAUGGAAAGAUGAAAAGAACUUUGAAAAGAGAGUGAAAAAGUACGUGAAAUUGUUGAAAGGGAAGGGUAUUAGAUCAGACUUGGUAUUUAGUUAUCAUUACUCCUUGUGGGUGGUGCUCUAGCUUUUUACUGGGCCAGCAUCAGUUUUGGUGACAGGAUAAUAGCAAUUGAAUGUGGCUCUUCGGAGUGUUAUAGCUUUUGUUGAUACUGUCUACUGGGACUGAGGUCUGCGGCUUUGCCUAGGAUGCUGGCGUAAUGAUCCAAUACCGC
rnacentral:rRNA from 1 species